rnacentral:rRNA from 1 species
UACGUAGGGUGCGAGCGUUGCCCGGAUUUAUUGGGCGUAAAGGGCGCGCAGGCGGCUACGCACGUCCGUUGUGAAAUCGCUCGGCUCAACUGGGCGGGGUCAGCGGAUACGGCGUGAGCGUGGAGCAAGCUAGGGGGGCAAUGGAAAUUCCCGGUGUACAGUGAAAUGACGUAGAGAUCGGGAGGAACAUCAGUUGCGAAGGCGGCUCUCUGGACCAGCACUGACACUGAGGCACGGAAAGCGUGGGGAGCAAACAGG